rnacentral:tRNA from 1 species
GGGCGGUUAGUUCAGCUGGUUAGAAUACUUGGUCGACAUCCAAGGGGUCGGGGAUUCGAAUUCUCACCGCCCACCA